GCUGGAUUCUGGGGUUAAAGCAACGCUAACUCAAAUGAGCAGCCUCUUCCUGCUCUGUCUCCAAAAGCCCACUUUUCCUAGGGCAACUCUGGUCUUUCUCCUCACCUGGUCCCCUACUUUUCAACCCAGCAGUCACCAUGAGCACAGCACGCCAGUGGAGGGGGGCUCCCCGGCCCAUCCUCAGCUGGCUGACUUUGGAACAGAACUUUCUCUACAGAUUGAAUGACUGACAAAUUCUAUCCCUAAGAGAGCAGGUACUCCCAGGUUUUGAGGGCAGGAGGCACCCACACGUAGGUUGUCUUGAGAGUCCCAAUGUGUGCACAUGUCAGGGUGCCCUGUCAGCCCCCUCAGCUGCUCCUCUGAGACCUGCACCGAGGCAGGGGCAUGCCACCAUUGCUCUCCUGGCAUUGGUUCCUCUUGGAGGUACAGCGGUCAGGGAGCUCCCCCUUCUGCUUCUGACAGAAGGCCAGUAUAAAAAAGGGGGCAAGACGAAGCCUGUGCCCCCUGCAGGCUGCUGUCCUUCCCUCUUCUUCCCUCCCUUCCCCCCCCCCCCCCGCAACCCCCAGGGCUAAACAAGGACUGACCAAAUCUUGAGGCUGGAAGGCCAGUGGUUGGCGCCUAGCCUUCCCCGUGCUCUGCCUCUGUCCACCCAUCCGUCUGCUGCUCACAGGUGGACAGUGCAAUCCUCAACUCCAGCAGCUGCUCUUACAGGCCCUGGGGACUUCAGCUGGGGACCGCGGUGGCUAAUCUUUUCCCCCAGUAUGGAGAAACUGCCUAACAGUUCGGUUAAGCUCAGGAGCCCUUCGCCUCCUGCUGGAAUGCUGCCCUUCUCUGGGUUCCUAGAUGCUCACAGGGUCACUGGGAGAUACUGUUUGAUCAGGGUUUUCUUCUACACUGUAGGUGACACUCUGGGAUAGUGGCCUAUCCUCUCGCACAUACCUGCCGGUUUUCCACAACUGGAUUUCUACAGUUCAUUCAAUUGAUUUUAAGGGUUUUUUUUUUUCCUUAUUAUUAUUAUUUUUGAAACUGUCCGAGUUGUUGGUGUUUUGUUUUUGCGUGGGUGUUAUUUUUUUUUUUCCUUUAAGUAGAGAGACGGCACCAACAGCGUAGUGGCCGUCAUAAACUAAUGCUCCAGAAACACUUCAAUAAAAAGAAAAGGUUGGCUUGUACGAGGGUGCAGUCGUUCUGCUGGACUGACGCGCCCCGACUAUUGCAAGGCAUCAUAUCCACAGUUCUAGCCUGAUCUCAUGCUGAUGUUCCCCGCCUCUUCCUGAUUUUUCUCUUUACAAGCUUCAAGUACUCCUACCAAGCUGAGUCGUGGCCUUUUUCACUCGAGCCCACCCCCACCCAACCCCCCCUUCUGAUAGGAGCUCACACUGCUUGAAGUCACAUGAACCACUGAGGCACAGCAUGCAGGUGACGUGAACAUCCAGGUGUGCCCCCACACAGCCCUUCCUGAGGCGUGGAGAUAGAGCUGAACCUGAGCUGGGUGGGGCCCACGCUUCGCCAUCUCCUUUCAGGAAUGUCCUAACAUUGGAUUCAGAGAUGGGAUGAGGCUCCCUCCUUGAGAUAUAAAAGACUGUUCAAGGUUGCUCUUUUUCCUACCUGCCUGUUUCUUAUGACUCGGGACUGUUCAACGGUAGGAAAAGCAGCUUCAUAAACUAGAAAAGCGAUCACGGUGAGACGAGCAGAUGGCGGAGUGGUAUACAGGAGUUUUUAGGGUGGGCUGACAGAUGGAUGAGCUCUGUAUGAUGCCAAGUCCUAAGCCAGCCUGAGCUCCCGGAGCCUCGGCCUUAGCAGCCCACCUCUUUUGGCAGUGCCUGUGCCUGAGGUAAGCAAGCAGUGGUGGCAAGGUCACACUGAGCUCAUGUGGGUGAGGAGUCUAGGAUGCUUACCCAAGGCCCUCUGUUGUCAUCGUUGGGUCCUCUGAGAGUGGCCACAGAGUGCUGAAAGCAUCUCCUUUCCUAAACACUGGCAUCCAGGAGGAGACAGGACCACUCCAUCAAAAUGCUUUGGCCCAUUUUAGCAGUAAUGAAUUUACGGUUUGGGAUUUUUUUUUUCCCUUUGGUUUUUGUUUUUAAUGUUACUUUUAUGUUUGUCUGAUGUCUUUUCAUUUCCUGGGCUAAGCAGCUGCAUUGGGAGACCUGGACCAGAGAGAUCCACCCCUUAAGAACCAGUGAUGAUGGUCAAACUUUUAACAGUCCACUUUGAACUAGGUGGUGGUACAAAUGAGAACUUCAAGACAGGAUGUCUGUGUAAAAUUGAACCUCUCUUGCCAGAGAUGCUGAAGAUACAGACCUUGGACAGGCCAGGGGUCUUUGCUUUGGGCUUCCAGCUUGGAUGACCAGUUGGCGAUUUAGAGAAACGAACAUUCCUUGAUGGGAUGACAGAGUGACGGUGCAGUAGGCACCCUUGGUAACCGGCAUCGUGACAUGACGGGAAUUGCUGACAGAGGGUUAAAGGGCCUGGAAGAAGCAUGGACCAUAUUUGGACUUGAUGGUGUCUGAAGGUGUCAGAGCAUGUGGAGGCUGGGGAGUCAACUGUGGGCAUUUGGUUUCAGAUAAGACACUUGGCAUCCUGCUCUGGAAACUUCUCCUUAGAGCUAAGUCACGUGCGGAAGGACUCAGACUCCAUCACACUCAUCAGAUGAGUUGUCGGUCUGGGGCAUGACGUUAGGGAUUGAUUUGAUUUUGGUUUCUGUGAGAACUUCAUAAUCACUGAUUUGUGUGUCCACAUUUGUGUCUGCAUCUUUCCAGUAAACCAUUCUUUAAAUUACUCAUUAUCCUUUCAAUAGGGCUUCUAAGUCCAGUAGAUUACGGGUAGUCGUUGACGAAGCUCUGGUUUACAAGAACUAAUUCAAUGUUUCAUUGCAUUUUUGUAAGAACAUAGAAUAAUUUUAUAAAAUGUUUGUAGUUUAUAAUUGCCGAAAAUAAUUUAAAAACACUUUUUUUUUCUCUCUGUGUGUGCAAAAAUAUGUGUUUGUGGUCUUUUUUCCCCCUCUUUGUUUCCUUUUUCUUUUUUGACACUUGUUUACUAGCUAGCUUUACAAUAUGCCAAAAAUAAAAAAUAAAAACUUAAAAAAAUUAAUUAAAAAGAAAUUCUCCCCAGGACCAAUUGUGGUUCACCCUCUUUCCCACAUGCUUUCUGCUCUAGUUUGU
rnacentral:lncRNA from 1 species